UGCACAGUGGCACAGUUGGUAAUACUUUUGCCUUGCGACAAGAAGGUCCUGGGUUCGACUCCCAGCCGAGGGUUUUUCUGCAU